rnacentral:tRNA from 1 species
AGAAAUUUAGGUUAGUGCAGACCAAAGGCCUUCAAAGCCUUAAGCGAAGGUUAAAUUCCUCCAAUUUCUG